rnacentral:lncRNA from 1 species
AAAAACACAGUUCCAGGUGUGAGAAGAGGAGCUGGGGCUCUCUCUCCUCUCUGUCCGAUUGGUGGCCGGAUGCCACACCACCGAAGAAAAAUAGCGUCUGGACGGAGGGACCUCUCCUCCACCUCUACCUCUACCUCUGUGAUCGUUCCUCUCCUUUUCUCUCUUCUUGGUUCUCUCUUCUACCCUGCUAGUUCGACCGAAUGACGGGAUAAGAUGUGUGACGAUGGCAGAUGGCAACUUGAUGUCAACCGAUUUUCUCUCAUUCCGCUAUACUCUCGUUCUCUCGUACCCUCUUUUGGAUGCUUUAGCUAUGAUAUUAGGUUCACAAAAUUGGUAUUGGUUAGGGUUCUUUGAUUCAAAUUUGAUUGAUGGAUUCACAGAUCUGGGUUUGGGAAAUUGAUUUAGUGAAAUGAAUUUGUGGAACUAGUAUUUGCGAAACUGGUUUGAGGGUUUGAUUUGUGAGUAGAUUUUGUAAAUUAGGGUUUCAUUAUGUAGAAAUGCAAGAUUAGAGAUUUUAGUUCGGGAA